rnacentral:rRNA from 1 species
UACGGAGGGGGCGAGCGUUGUUCGGAAUUACUGGGCGUAAAGGGCGCGCAGGCGGCUGCUCAAGUCAGGCGUGAAAGGCCUGGGCUCAACCCGGGAAUUGCGCUUGAGACUGGGCUGGCUUGAGUGCGGGAGAGGAUGGUGGAAUUCCCAGUGUAGAGGUGAAAUGCGUAGAUAUCUGGAGGAACACCGGUGGCGAAGGCGGCAUCCUGGACCGGUAUUGACGCUGAGGCGCGAAAGCCAGGGGAGCAAACGGG